ACGUAGGGCGCAAGCGUUGUCCGGAAUUAUUGGGCGUAAAGAGCUCGUAGGCGGUUUGUCGCGUCUGGUGUGAAAACUCAAGGCUCAACCUUGAGCUUGCAUCGGGUACGGGCAGACUAGAGUGCGGUAGGGGUGACUGGAAUUCCUGGUGUAGCGGUGGAAGGCGCAGAUAUCAGGAGGAACACCGAUGGCGAAGGCAGGUCACUGGGCCGCAACUGACGCUGAGGAGCGAAAGCAGGGGGAGCGAACAGGA
rnacentral:rRNA from 1 species